rnacentral:rRNA from 1 species
CCUACGGGAGGCAGCAGUGAGGAAUAUUGGUCAAUGGACGAGAGUCUGAACCAGCCAAGUAGCGUGAAGGAUGACUGCCCUAUGGGUUGUAAACUUCUUUUAUAAAGGAAUAAAACGAGGCACGUGUGCCUUUUUGCAUGUACUUUAUGAAUAAGGAUCGGCAAACUCCGUGCCAGCAGCCGCGGUAAUACGGAGGAUCCGAGCGUUAUCCGGAUUUAUUGGGUUAAAAGGGAGGGUAGGCGGAAUGCAAAGUCAGCGGGAAAAUCGCGGGGCUAAACCUGGCUCCGCCGUUGAAACUGGCGGGCUUGAGUGCGCGAGAAGUAUGCGGAAUGCGUGGUGUAGCGGUGAAAUGCAUAGAUAUCACGAAGAACUCCGAUGGCGAAGGCAGCAUACUGGCGCGCAACUGACGCUGAGGCACGAAAGCGUGGGUAGCGAACAGGAUUAGAUACCCUUGUAGUC